GAAAUAUGAAAUUCGAGAAAAAGCUUCUAACUUUGUUCUCUAGCGGCGAAAUUCCGUUAAUAUUUCU
rnacentral:tRNA from 1 species